GGUUAUUUGUAGGAUACUCUAUUAUUUUAUCAUAAAUCUUUUCCUUUCUGGAACUAAUUACAUAGAGGAUAUGUCUCAAUUUGUUCUGCAUUAAUGCCACAGUCAGAGCUAUAACCAGAGCUGAUUCUCAGCUUCAUGAAAUUGAUGAACUGAGACUGGUUGGGUCCUAAAUAACCAUCUGGAAUUCCUUUCUGAGGUUACAGGAGAGCCCCUGACCCAGCAUUCAACUUUCAUAAG